GCCUCCCCCUCCCCCUCUCGGGCGGCCGGGCCCUUCCUCCCUCCCUCACACGCCUCCACCUCUUCCCGAUCUCCUCCUCCCCGAGCCCGGCGCACCGAGCCGGCCGUGCCACCGAGCUGCGGCUCUGGCCCCGGCGCCGCGGGUGCGCUGCGGAUGGGCUUGGGGCGCACCCAGCGAGCAGCGAGAGUCGCGGUGUCCCGGGCGCUCGCUGGCACCGUGGCCGCAGCGGCCGGCCUGGGAGCCAGGAGGGCGAGGCGGCUGCACCUUCGGGGCCAGAUUGGAGUUCGAAGAGUGGCGGGUACCCCAGAAGCUCGGGGCCGGGGCGAUGGCUGCAGCCUCGGGAGGGUAUCGCCGGAUCGAACUCCGGGAAAGGGAAGCAAAGGCAUGGAACCUCCGCACACUGGAUGAGAAUCCAUCUUCCAUUCGAGCUGGGAAUAGACUUUGUGAAAGAUAUUAUGUAAUGGAGUCUCGGGAACCCUGAGACCUCUCCAGCGAAGCUGAAGUGAAUUAAUUAAGUGCUUUAAACGGUCUUGGUGCUGUGUUACGGGAGAGAGUGACUGGAAAGUAACAAAGCUGAAUCUUUCUCCCUGGAGUAAGGCCGAAGACUGGAUUACUACACGCCUAGACGUGACACUACACCCAUAGAUCUCAUGCAUCAUUAAUGCCAUAUGACAUUGCCAUUUUCUUUCUCAGUUCACGGACAAAAGUGGUGGGUUUUCAUUGUCUUCACUGAUUGUCAAUGCAUUAAUAAAGAAGAUGUGUGGUACAUAGUCUUUGUGAUAAAUCAGGUAAAGAAGCAACGGAAGUGAUGCAAAAUGCACGGUGUGGAGAUGGUUUCUCUUCAGUGGUUGUCAGAAAAGGUUUUCGUAAUGAUGGCUCUGUCAUUGAUGGGAUAUGAAGUAGUAAUCCGCUCCGUAGUGACCUACCAUUCACAAGAUGGGUACCAGGUGAAUAACAUUAAUUAAUUGACAAAAAGUGACUGUGGUCAAUGGGGGAAAAAAUCGAUCCCGUGGCAGGUGUGACGUGGGAAUGGCUGGCCCACCCUCUGAUCCAAGAUGGUCUGGCUGCAGGAAGGUGGCAGCCAAGUGGAUUCUGAAAAUCGUGACUAAUGAACCGAAAGUUAAUAGCUGGCAGUGCAAGGAAAGAGGAAACAAAGCUACCUUUGAAAUGUUAUGUUUGU
rnacentral:lncRNA from 1 species